GGUCAAGUCCCGAGCGGCUGAGACAAGCCCAACUCCGUCAGGUCCGGAAGGAAGCAGCGGCAAGUUUGUUCUCAGGGUGUCUCGGUAAACUUGGCCUUU
rnacentral:SRP_RNA from 1 species